rnacentral:rRNA from 1 species
ACUCCUACGGGAGGCAGCAGUGGGGAAUAUUGGACAAUGGGCGAAAGCCUGAUCCAGCCAUGCCGCGUGUGUGAAGAAGGUCUUCGGAUUGUAAAGCACUUUAAGUUGGGAGGAAGGGCAGUUGCCCUAAUACGUGAUUGUUUUGACGUUACCGACAGAAUAAGCACCGGCUAACUCUGUGCCAGCAGCCGCGGUAAUACAGAGGGUGCAAGCGUUAAUCGGAAUUACUGGGCGUAAAGCGCGCGUAGGUGGUUUGUUAAGUUGGAUGUGAAAUCCCCGGGGCUCAACCUGGGAACUGCAUUCAAAACUGACUGACUAGAGUAUGGUAGAGGGUGUGGAAUUUCCUGUGUAGCGGUGAAAUGCGUAGAUAUAGGAAGGAACACCAGUGGCGAAGGCGACCACCUGGACUGAUACUGACACUGAGGUGCGAAAGCGUGGGGAGCGAAACAGGAUUAGAUACCCUGGUAGACUGUCA